CAGCUAGCUUACCCACCAAUGUAAUCAAACAAUAUAAAUAAAAUAAAAUAGAAUGAACACCAAAAAUUAAACCAUUCUUUUACCUGAGUAUGGGCGACAGAAAAGGUUCAACCAAAGCGAUAGAAAUAGUACCGCAAGGGAAAGCUGAAAGAGAAAUGAAACAACCCAUACAAGCACUAAAAAGCAGAGACUAAACCUCGUACCUUUUGCAUCAUGAUUUAGCCAGUAAACACAAGCAAAGAGACCUUUAGUUUGAAACCCCGAAACCAGGUGAGCUACCCCGAGACAGCCUAUUAAGGGCCAACCCGUCUCUGUGGCAAAAGAGUGGGAAGAGCUCCGGGUAGAAGUGACAAACCUACCGAACCUGGUGAUAGCUGGUUGCCUAAGAAAUGAAUAGAAGUUCAGCCUCGCGCACCUCAAAUCGAACAAGCACUAAUCAAGACCCCUUGAGAUAAACACGAGAGUUAGUUAAAGGGGGUACAGCCCCUUUAACAAAGGACACAACCUUAACCAGGAGGAUAAAGAUCAUAAUAUAUAAAACAAACUGUUCUAGUGGGCCUAAAAGCAGCCACCUAAACAGAAAGCGUUAAAGCUCAGACAGAAAAAAGUUCAUUAUUCUGAUAAAAAAUCUUACUCCCCUAUAUACUAUUAGGCUAAUCCAUGCCCCCAUGGAAGAAAUUAUGCUAAAAUGAGUAACAAGAAGGCUCGCCCUUCUCCAAGCACAAGUGUAAGCCAAAUCGGACCAACCAUUGGCAACUAACGAACUCAACCCAAGAGAGCAAUGUGGACCGUAAAGAAAUCAAGAAAGCCCCACAACUUAAUAAUCGUUACCCCCACACUGGAAUGCUAUUAAAGGAAAGACUAAAAGAAAAGGAAGGAACUCGGCAAACACAAGCCUCGCCUGUUUACCAAAAACAUCGCCUCCUGCAACACAACCAUGUAUAAGAGGUCCAGCCUGCCCAGUGACUACAAGUUCAACGGCCGCGGUAUUUUGACCGUGCAAAGGUAGCGCAAUCACUUGUCUUUUAAAUAGAGACCUGUAUGAAUGGCUAAACGAGGGCUUAACUGUCUCCCUUUUCAAGUCAGUGAAAUUGAUCUGCCCGUGCAGAAGCG
rnacentral:rRNA from 1 species